rnacentral:rRNA from 1 species
UGCUGUGAGCUCGAUGAGUAGGGCGGGACACGUGGUAUCCUGUCUGAAUAUGGGGGGACCAUCCUCCAAGGCUAAAUACUCCUGACUGACCGAUAGUGAACCAGUACCGUGAGGGAAAGGCGAAAAGAACCCCGGCGAGGGGAGUGAAAAAGAACCUGAAACCGUGUACGUACAAGCAGUGGGAGCCCCACCACUAAGCCAGUGGUGAACUCCACAUACGCAUCCUUUGCUGAAGGCAAUGGUUAACGGAGCGAAAGCGACGUUUAACCUCAAAAGAAGCAGAGGGGGCUUAGUGGUGGGGUGACUGCGUACCUUUUGUAUAAUGGGUCAGCGACUUAUAUUCUGUAGCAAGGUUAACCGAAUAGGGGAGCCGGAGGGAAACCGAGUCUUAAUUGGGCGUUAAGUUGCAGGGUAUAGACCCGAAACCCGGUGAUCUAGCCAUGGGCAGGUUGAAGGUUGGGUAACACUAACUGGAGGACCGAACCGACUAAUGUUGAAAAAUUAGCGGAUGACCUGUGGCUGGGGGUGAAAGGCCAAUCAAACCGGGAGAUAGCUGGUUCUCCCCGAAAGCUAUUUAGGUAGCGCCUCGUGAAUUCAUCUCCGGGGGUAGAGCACUGUUUCGGCUAGGGGGCCAUCCCGGCUUACCAACCCGAUGCAAACUGCGAAUACCGGAGAAUGUUAUCACGGGAGACACACGGCGGGUGCUAACGUCCGUCGUGAAGAGGGAAACAACCCAGACCGCCAGCUAAGGUCCCAAAGUCAUGGUUAAGUGGGAAACGAUGUGGGAAGGCCCAGACAGCCAGGAUGUUGGCUUAGAAGCAGCCAUCAUUUAAAGAAAGCGUAAUAGCUCACUGGUCGAGUCGGCCUGCGCGGAAGAUGUAACGGGGCUAAACCAUGCACCGAAGCUGCGGCAGCGACGCUUAUGCGUUGUUGGGUAGGGGAGCGUUCUGUAAGCCUGUGAAGGUGGCCUGUGAGGGUUGCUGGAGGUAUCAGAAGUGCGAAUGCUGACAUAAGUAACGAUAAAGCGGGUGAAAAGCCCGCUCGCCGGAAGACCAAGGGUUCCUGUCCAACGUUAAUCGGGGCAGGGUGAGUCGACCCCUAAGGCGAGGCCGAAAGGCGUAGUCGAUGGGAAACGGGUUAAUAUUCCCGUACUUGGUGUUACUGCGAAGGGGGGACGGAGAAGGCUAUGUUGGCCGGGCGACGGUUGUCCCGGUUUAAGCGUGUAGGUGUGUGUUCCAGGUAAAUCCGGUUCACUUUAACACUGAGGCGUGACGACGAGGCACUACGGUGCUGAAGCAACAAAUGCCCUGCUUCCAGGAAAAGCCUCUAAGCAUCAGGUAACAUCAAAUCGUACCCCAAACCGACACAGGUGGUCAGGUAGAGAAUACCAAGGCGCUUGAGAGAACUCGGGUGAAGGAACUAGGCAAAAUGGUGCCGUAACUUCGGGAGAAGGCACGCUGACAC